UACAGAGGGGGCGAGCGUUGUUCGGAAUUACUGGGCGUAAAGGGCGCGUAGGCGGCCUUCUAAGUCGAACGUGAAAUCCCCGGGCUCAACCCGGGAACUGCGUCCGAUACUGGAAGGCUUGAAUCCGGGAGAGGGAUGCGGAAUUCCAGGUGUAGCGGUGAAAUGCGUAGAUAUCUGGAGGAACACCGGUGGCGAAGGCGGCAUCCUGGACCGGCAUUGACGCUGAGGCGCGAAAGCGUGGGGAGCAAACAGG
rnacentral:rRNA from 1 species